UACGUAGGGUGCAAGCGUUGUCCGGAAUUAUUGGGCGUAAAGAGCUCGUAGGCGGUCUGUCGCGUCUGGUGUGAAAACUCAAGGCUUAACCUUGGGCCUGCAUCGGGUACGGGCAGACUAGAGUGCGGUAGGGGAGACUGGAAUUCCUGGUGUAGCGGUGAAAUGCGCAGAGAUCAGGAGGAACACCGGUGGCGAAGGCGGGUCUCUGGGCAGUAACUGACGCUGAGGAGCGAAAGCGUGGGGAGCGAACAGG
rnacentral:rRNA from 1 species